rnacentral:lncRNA from 1 species
CCUGUUUUCUGAUUGGCCUUUACAACUUGCUCAUUCUCUCUUCUCUACCAUUGCUCACACAUUAUUGCUGGAAUGACCUCCUCAUCUUUUUUUUGUCAAACCUAUGCCCCUCCCUUCUUUUAAACACCUUUUCCGGAAAGUCCUCAUUGACUAACUCCACCCAAAAUCUAAACCCUUUCCCAUCAGCUUACAAGUACUGUGUUUUGCUGACUUAUUUCUACACAUUCUUUUGUUCUAUAACUGCACUUUAAAUUUGUUUUUAUAUGUAUCUGCAAGAUAUACUACUAGCAAGAGCUUGCUUUCUUACUGUUCUUUACACACACACACACACACACACAUACACACUUAUUUUUCUUUUUAAUAACCUGCUUUCUAAUCCUUAUAUUACUUCCAGUACUGGGCCAUACACAAAGUACUGUUGCUAUUGAACUGACUAACCAAUUGAUUAAGAGAAAAUAUUUAUUCAGUUUGUGGCCUUUCCUUUAUGUGUGCCCCACAGAGAAACCUGUAGCUAAAGGCAACCUUCUUUUUUAAAAAUCACAGGUAAGAUUACAAACAAAAACAUCAGGGCUAUAGACUUCGUGUCAACAGUAAUUGUGAUCUUGCUAAGAAAGGGAAAAGGCUUACUUGGCCCUGUCCCAGGUCCCAUGACCAAAGAGGCCUCAAUGCAGCAAGUCAAGGAUGAACCCAGACUUACUAUGUACAAUUUGGAAUAGGGUAGUAGAACAUAACAUACAAUUCCCUUAAAUAUAACUGGAUGCUCCAUGCACACUUCUCUGAAAUAACUGAAAUGAAGAACUCAAAGAACCUCAGAGUUGAUUUCCCUCCUUGGUGCUUCAGAAGGAAUGGGAAAGCCAAUAAAGUGUCAAUGUCAUUAGCCCUGCUUCUAACAGAUUUCUGGGCUUCUGUUUACCAAGCCUCUGAAAAUCUGCAAGUGAAAAAAAACUGUGGAAGUUCAUAAAUUUCAAUAAAAAGUUAAGAAAGUGGACUGGAGCCGGGUGCAGUGG